GGAUGAACGCUGGCGGCGUGCUUAACACAUGCAAGUCGAACGGUGAAGGCGGAGCUUGCUCUGCUGGAUCAGUGGCGAACGGGUGAGUAACACGUGAGCAAUCUGCCCCUGACUCUGGGAUAAGCGCUGGAAACGGCGUCUAAUACUGGAUACGAGCUGCGAAGGCAUCUUCAGCAGCUGGAAAGAAUUUCGGUCAGGGAUGAGCUCGCGGCCUAUCAGCUUGUUGGUGAGGUAAUGGCUCACCAAGGCGUCGACGGGUAGCCGGCCUGAGAGGGUGACCGGCCACACUGGGACUGAGACACGGCCCAGACUCCUACGGGAGGCAGCAGUGGGGAAUAUUGCACAAUGGGCGAAAGCCUGAUGCAGCAACGCCGCGUGAGGGACGACGGCCUUCGGGUUGUAAACCUCUUUUAGCAGGGAAGAAGCGAAAGUGACGGUACCUGCAGAAAAAGCGCCGGCUAACUACGUG
rnacentral:rRNA from 1 species